rnacentral:tRNA from 1 species
GCCUGGGUGGCUCAGUUAGCUAAGCAUCUGACUUUGGCUCAGGUGAGUUGUGAGUUCGAGCCCCACAUCGGGCU